rnacentral:rRNA from 1 species
GGAAGUAAAAGUCGUAACAAGGUUUCCGUAGGUGAACCUGCGGAAGGAUCAUUACCACACCAAAAUAAUGUCCACGUGAAACUGUUUUGUUUGUACUUGGAGUGUGAAACUCGUUUCAUGCUUCGAGUAGGGAGUGUAUGCUCCUGUUUUUUAAACCAUUAACCUUAAUUCAAUACUAAACUAGAAAUCUUUAAUGAAAGUACAACUUUCAGCAGUGGAUGUCUAGGCUCGCACAUCGAUGAAGAACGCUGCGAACUGCGAUACGUAAUGCGAAUUGCACGAACUAGUGAGUCAUCGAAAUUUUGAACGCAUAUUGCACUUCCGGGUAUUCCUGGGAGUAUGCUUGUAUCAGUGUCUGUAUACUUUCUCACUCUUUUUGGUUUGUCUUGUACGGACUGGAGAGAUGUGGAUGGUGAAAGUCUGUGAGUGUGUUGUUUUCGGACGGCGCACGAUAGUCUUUUGAAAUAUACAAACAAUGAAUAUAUACUCGCUAUGUGUUCUUGUGCUUAAAAUGCGGUAAUAGACUUUUCGUUUAUGAUGCUAUUAAGUGCUGGAGCAUGAGUGUAUGAGUCAUGUGUUCUAAUGGGAAAUUGGAGCGACUACUUGUAGUUGCUACUCUUUUUUAUUAGACCUGAUAUCAAGCAAGAUUACCCGCUGAAUUUAAGCAUAUCAAUAAGCGGAGGA